AGCUCGUGUCGUGAGAUGUUGGGUUAAGUCCCGCAACGAGCGCAACCCUCGCCUUAGUUGCCAGCAUUAGUUGGGCACUCUAAGGGGACUGCCGGUGAUAAGCCGAGAGGAAGGUGGGGAUGACGUCAAGUCAGCAUGGCCUUUAUAUCCUGGGCUACACACACGCUACAAUGGGAAGGGACAAUAGGUUGCGAAGCCGCGAGGCGGAGCCAAUCCAGCAAAACUUCCCUCAGUUCAGAUUGCAGGCUGCAACUCGCCUGCAUGAAGUUGGAGUUGCUAGUAAACGCAGGUCAGCCAUACUGCGUUGAAUACGUUCCCGGGCCUU
rnacentral:rRNA from 1 species